AGAUGGCGGCGUGCUAUACAUGCAGUCGAACGAACUGCUGGUAUUGAUUGGUGCUUGCAUCAUGAUUUACAUUUGAGUGAGUGGCGAACUGGUGAGUAACACGUGGGAAACCUGCCCAGAAGCGGGGGAUAACACCUGGAAACAGAUGCUAAUACCGCAUAACAACUUGGACCGCAUGGUCCGAGUUUGAAAGAUGGCUUCGGCUAUCACUUUUGGAUGGUCCCGCGGCGUAUUAGCUAGAUGGUGGGGUAACGGCUCACCAUGGCAAUGAUACGUAGCCGACCUGAGAGGGUAAUCGGCCACAUUGGGACUGAGACACGGCCCAAACUCCUACGGGAGGCAGCAGUAGGGAAUCUUCCACAAUGGACGAAAGUCUGAUGGAGCAACGCCGCGUGAGUGAAGAAGGGUUUCGGCUCGUAAAACUCUGUUGUUAAAGAAGAACAUAUCUGAGAGUAACUGUUCAGGUAUUGACGGUAUUUAACCAGAAAGCCACGGCUAACUACGUGCCAGCAGCCGCGGUAAUACGUAGGUGGCAAGCGUUGUCCGGAUUUAUUGGGCGUAAAGCGAGCGCAGGCGGUUUUUUAAGUCUGAUGUGAAAGCCUUCGGCUCAACCGAAGAAGUGCAUCGGAAACUGGGAAACUUGAGUGCAGAAGAGGACAGUGGAACUCCAUGUGUAGCGGUGAAAUGCGUAGAUAUAUGGAAGAACACCAGUGGCGAAGGCGGCUGUCUGGUCUGUAACUGACGCUGAGGCUCGAAAGUAUGGGUAGCAAACAGGAUUAGAUACCCUGGUAGUCCAUACCGUAAACGAUGAAUGCUAAGUGUUGGAGGGUUUCCGCCCUUCAGUGCUGCAGCUAACGCAUUAAGCAUUCCGCCUGGGGAGUACGGCCGCAAGGCUGAAACUCAAAGGAAUUGACGGGGGCCCGCACAAGCGGUGGAGCAUGUGGUUUAAUUCGAAGCUACGCGAAGAACCUUACCAGGUCUUGACAUACUAUGCAAAUCUAAGAGAUUAGACGUUCCCUUCGGGGACAUGGAUACAGGUGGUGCAUGGUUGUCGUCAGCUCGUGUCGUGAGAUGUUGGGUUAAGUCCCGCAACGAGCGCAACCCUUAUUAUCAGUUGCCAGCAUUAAGUUGGGCACUCUGGUGAGACUGCCGGUGACAAACCGGAGGAAAGGGGGGGAUGACGUCAAAUCUCCUGGCCCCUUUUGACCGGGGGUAAACCCGGGUUAAAAUGGGAGGGGCAACCAAAUUGU
rnacentral:rRNA from 1 species